GACGAACCGUGCUAACGUUAUUCGGAAUCACUGGCUUAAAGCGCGUGUAGGCGGGACGGCACGUCGGUCGUUGAAAGCCCCCGGCUCAACCGGGGAACGGGCGCCGAUACGACCGUCCUGGAGGGACGUAGGGGGACCUGGAACUUCCGGUGGAGCGGUGAAAUGCGUUGAGAUCGGAAGGAACGCCCGUGGCGAAAGCGAGGUCCUGGACGUUUUCUGACGCUGAGGACGCGAAAGCCAGGGGAGCGAACGGG
rnacentral:rRNA from 1 species